GAUGAACGCUGGCGGCGUGCCUAAUACAUGCCAGUCGAGCGAACGGACGAGAAGCUUGCUUCUCUGAUGUUAGCGGCGGACGGGUGGGUAACACGUGGAUAACCUACCUAUAAGACUGGGAUAACUUCGGGAAACCGGAGCUAAUACCGGAUAAUAUUUUGAACCGCAUGGUUCAAAAGUGAAAGACGGUCUUGCUGUCACUUAUAGAUGGAUCCGCGCUGCAUUAGCUAGUUGGUAAGGUAACGGCUUACCAAGGCAACGAUGCAUAGCCGACCUGAGAGGGUGAUCGGCCACACUGGAACUGAGACACGGUCCAGACUCCUACGGGAGGCAGCAGUAGGGAAUCUUCCGCAAUGGGCGAAAGCCUGACGGAGCAACGCCGCGUGAGUGAUGAAGGUCUUCGGAUCGUAAAACUCUGUUAUUAGGGAAGAACAUAUGUGUAAGUAACUGUGCACAUCUUGACGGUACCUAAUCAGAAAGCCACGGCUAACUACGUG
rnacentral:rRNA from 1 species